GUAGGGAAUCUUCGGCAAUGGACGAAAGUCUGACCGAGCAACGCCGCGUGAGUGAAGAAGGUUUUCGGAUCGUAAAACUCUGUUGGUAGAGAAGAACGUUGGUGAGAGUGGAAAGCUCAUCAAGUGACGGUAACUACCCAGAAAGGGACGGCUAACUACGUGCCAGCAGCCGCGGUAAUACGUAGGUCCCGAGCGUUGUCCGGAUUUAUUGGGCGUAAAGCGAGCGCAGGUGGUUUAUUAAGUCUGGUGUAAAAGGCAGUGGCUCAACCAUUGUAUGCAUUGGAAACUGGAUGACUUGAGUGCAGUAGAGGAAAGUGGAACUCCAUGUGUAGCGGUGAAAUGCGUAGAUAUAUGGAAGAACACCAGUGGCGAAGGCGGCUUUCUGGACUGUAACUGACACUGAGGCUCGAAAGCGUGGGGAGCAAACAGGAUUAGAAACCCUAGUAGUCC
rnacentral:rRNA from 1 species